GAUGAACGCUGGCGGCGUGCCUAAUACAUGCAAGUCGAGCGAACAGACGAGGAGCUUGCUCCUUUGACGUUAGCGGCGGACGGGUGAGUAACACGUGGAUAACCUACCUAUAAGACUGGGAUAACUUCGGGAAACCGGAGCUAAUACCGGAUAACAUGUUGAACCGCAUGGUUCAACAGUGAAAGACGGUCUUGCUGUCACUUAUAGAUGGAUCCGCGCCGCAUUAGCUAGUUGGUAAGGUAACGGCUUACCAAGGCAACGAUGCGUAGCCGACCUGAGAGGGUGAUCGGCCACACUGGAACUGAGCCACGGUCCAGACUCCUACGGGAGGCAGCAGUAGGGAAUCUUCCGCAAUGGGCGAAAGCCUGACGGAGCAACGCCGCGUGAGUGAAGAAGGUCUUCGGAUCGUAAAACUCUGUUAUUAGGGAAGAACAAAUGUGUAAGUAACUAUGCACGUCUUGACGGUACCUAAUCAGAAAGCCACGGCUAACUACGUG
rnacentral:rRNA from 1 species